UACGAAGGGGGCGAGCGUUGUUCGGAAUUACUGGGCGUAAAGGGCGCGCAGGCGGUCUUUCAAGUCAGGCGUGAAAGCCCCGGGCUCAACCUGGGAAUAGCGCUUGAGACUGGGAGACUUGAGGACGGGAGAGGAGAGUGGAAUUCCCAGUGUAGAGGUGAAAAUUCGUAGAUAUUGGGAAGAACACCAAUGGCGAAGGCAGCUCUCUGGACCGUUACUGACGCUGAGGCGCGAAAGCGUGGGGAGCAAACAGG
rnacentral:rRNA from 1 species